UUCCUCGAAAAUGAAAACGGUUUUUACAGUCUCCCGAAUAGUAUUGAUAGAAAUAUAAUAAGUCGUACCAUACGUUCUUGUGCCGUGGACAGUUAUGGGUCCUCCUUUUAUGUUCGAUGGUGGUGUUCUCAUUCUGGUAUAUUUUUCUUUUAUACAACAACACACCUGAUUGAAUUGUUUUAAUACUGAUGGUUACUCGAAAACUGUUUUCCGUGUGAUUGUUUCGAAAAUGCAUCGUUUCAAAUUUUGAAAUGCGAAUAAAUCAUGUCUAUUUAAUAACACGCGGAAGCCAGUCACGGUUUUUGAUUCAAUAACAAAAACGUUUCGUUUUUUGUGCAUACAACGCGAUAACUUGAAUACUGCGGUUCUCUGAAAUAUUUGUAACUUGUAUUUCGGCGUGUCGAGUAUGUUUGACAGGAUUUCGUACAUCAGAGAAAAUAUUUGCGAUAAAACAACGUGUGUUACGUUCACGCAUCGUGACGGAGUUAUUAUCCUAGCUUUGACCGUAAACACGUCCGGUAGGUCCUUGAGGUUAAUUUUAUGUUCACAUUUCAAUCCAAGAACAAAGAAAACAAAACAAACAAUACGAUAUUUUCAACGGGAUUCGCAGUUAUGUUUUGUCAUCUAAGAAUUUAAACGUAACAGCUUACUGAAAAUAUUCUGCGAUCAGUCGUUAAACUUCAAUCUUUUUAAUUUUUAUGAUUUACAAUAUUGUAACAUACCCAAAGUAAAUAUUGAAACCUACAGUUAAUUAGUCGAUGGUAUUCUAAUCGGAAUAUUUUGCAUGGUUCACCAUUGUAUCCAUGAUUACCACGAUAAUUCGUAUUAUGGUCUCUUGGGCAUAGUAUUCCAUGUGCUAUAUGUCCAUGUAACUUUCUCGUAAUCUAUGAAAACAUAGAUUCCUAACCUAUAACUUUUAAAAACUUGACGUACAAUUUUGCGCGUAUAUAACUAUAUAAUUUCGAACGUGUAUUUAAUUCAUGUGUAUUGAAUAAUUUUUAAAACAUAAGUCCCCAGUUAAAACGUAAAACAUAUAUGCCAUUUCUUAUUCUGAAUGCAUAUAGACAAAAAAUAAUGCUUUUUGAACUUUGAAAGUUACGAAACGAUGCAAUAUUUUUCUUCAAUUUAAAAAUAAACAGCUUAAAAUAACCGAAAACAUAAAAUCUUUUUCAGACAAUUUCCAUAGAUUGUUAUGUCUUAUUUAUUAUGUUGGAGUUCGAUGUUUUUGAUACGUCCGAUAUUUUUUAAGCUCGAGAUUAUGUUCGUGGCAUUGGAGUGUUUAAAGAGUAUGUUUCUACUGGAUAACACGUAUGCGAUUUUAACUCGGAUUUGUGAUACCGUAACUUUGUUGAACGGUUCUUAGUAGUCUACGUAUGUUGUAUUUAACCAAAAUCUGUUUCUCAUUUCUCCAUAAGUAGAGCAACAGUAUUGGUCCGCAUUUUACCUUUUUCUUUAAUGGUUCAAUGUAGAAAACGCCCUAGAGGUUUGGAUAUCUACAGUUGAAAUGAUUCAGG